rnacentral:rRNA from 1 species
UACGUAGGGGGCGAGCGUUGUCCGGAUUUAUUGGGCGUAAAGAGCUCGUAGGCGGUUCGAUAAGUCGGACGUGAAAUCUCCACGCUCAACGUGGAGGGGCCGUUCGAUACUGUCGUGACUCGAGUCCGGUAGGGGAGUGUGGAAUUCCCGGUGUAGCGGUGAAAUGCGCAGAGAUCGGGAGGAACACCCGUAGCGAAGGCGGCACUCUGGGCCGGUACUGACGCUGAGGAGCGAAAGCGUGGGUAGCAAACAGG